AGUGAUAAAUUUGGGAAAAGGUUGAUGAUAAGUUAAGGUGGGGGUGGUGAUGAUUUUAGAUUGAUGUUAUUAGGUUGUUGUAUUUUAUUGUGUGAGACGUGGAGUUAUGUUUGAGACUAUUUUGGAUUUUUUUUCUCCCCUUCUUGUUUCACGUGUAGGAGGUUGUGUGUGCUGUAUGGUUUUCUUCCCCUUAAGCAUUUUUCCCCUCCUUUUA
rnacentral:lncRNA from 1 species